UGCCCAGUAACUCCUAUCCCUACCUCCUCGCGGUACUGGCCGGGGUACGAGUAACCUUAGAGAAGA
rnacentral:ribozyme from 1 species